rnacentral:rRNA from 1 species
AGCGAACGCUGGCGGCAGGCCUAACACAUGCAAGUCGAGCGCCGUAGCAAUACGGAGCGGCAGACGGGAGAGUAACACGUGGGAACGUACCCUUUGGUUCGGAACAACCCAGGGAAACUUGGGCUAAUACCGGAUAAGCCCUCACGGGGAAAGAUUCAUCGCCGAAGGAUCGGCCCACGUCUGAUUAGCUAGGUGGUGGGGUAAUGGCCCACCAAGGCGACGAUCAGUAACUGGUCCGAGAGGAUGAUCAGCCUCACUGGGCGGGAGACACGGCCCAGACUCCUACGGGAGGCAGCAGUGGGUAACAUUGGACAAUGGGCGCAAGCCUGAUCCAGCCAAGCCGCGUGGGUGAUGAAGGCCCUAGGUUUGUAAAGCCCUUUCGGCGGGGAAGAUAAUGACGGUACCCGCAGAAGAAGCCCCGGCUAACUUCGUGCCAGCCGCCGCAGUAA